AUUUAAACCUGCUUUUCUUUUCCACUUGGUAUUAACUAAUACCAACCACAGUCCACCAGUUCACCAACAAACUCCUGUUGUUUUAACUCCUACUUAAAAGAGACUACUUUAAAUAGCCUACUUUCAAGCAAACUCCAGUGAGCAAGCUCUGUGAGUCAGUAGUGGGUUUAUAUUUGCAAUACAAAUCCCACACAGGUGGAAAUUAAGGGGCACUCCCCCUAAUUAGCUCAGCAGCAGCAGCACCCACAAGGAGGGGAAUAGAAACAACAAGAGGGGGGGGAAAAAAAAAAGAGGGAAAAAGUUUUAAAUAAUACCAGCAAGGUGAAAAUAUAUA